rnacentral:rRNA from 1 species
UACGAAGGGGGCUAGCGUUGCUCGGAAUCACUGGGCGUAAAGCGCAUGUAGGCGGACUCUUAAGUCAGGGGUGAAAUCCUGGAGCUCAACUCCAGAACUGCCUUUGAUACUGGGAGUCUUGAGUUCGGGAGAGGUGAGUGGAACUGCGAGUGUAGAGGUGAAAUUCGUAGAUAUUCGCAAGAACACCAGUGGCGAAGGCGGCUCACUGGCCCGAUACUGACGCUGAGGCACGAAAGCGUGGGGAGCAAACAGGG